rnacentral:rRNA from 1 species
CCUUAAGCUUAGUUGCCAUCAUUAAGUUGGGCACUCUAAGUUGACUGCCGGUGACAAACCGGAGGAAGGUGGGGAUGACGUCAAAUCAUCAUGCCCCUUAUGAUUUGGGCUACACACGUGCUACAAUGGACAAUACAAAGGGCAGCGAAACCGCGAGGUCAAGCAAAUCCCAUAAAGUUGUUCUCAGUUCGGAUUGUAGUCUGCAACUCGACUACAUGAAGCUGGAAUCGCUAGUAAUCGUAGAUCAGCAUGCUACGGUGAAUACGUUCCCGGGUCUUGUACACACCGCCCGUCACACCACGAGAGUUUGUAACACCCGAAGCCGGUGGAGUAACCUUUUAGGAGCUAGCCGUCGAAGGUGGGACAAAUGAUUGGGGUGAAGUCGUAACAAGGUAGCCGUAUCGGAAGGUGCGGCU